rnacentral:rRNA from 1 species
GUCUAUGGCCAUACCACCCUGAACAUACCUGAUCUCAUCUGAUCUCAGAAGCUAAGCAGGGUCAGGCCUGGUUAGUACUUGGAUGGGAAAAAUGUAAAUUUUGAUGGUAGAAAUU